rnacentral:rRNA from 1 species
CUUCAUGAAUAAAAUCUAUGAGGUUUACUCUGCCCGGUGACUUGCGAGUUAAACGGCCGCGGUACCCUGACUGUGCUAAGGUAGCGUGAUAAUUCGCCCUUUAAUUGUGGGCUUGUACGAAUGGGUUAACGAGGGUUUAGCUGUCUCCCUUUUAAUACUGGAAAUUAAUCUUUAGGUGAAAAGGCCUGAAUAAAGUCGCAGGACAAAAAGACCCCAUAGAGCUUUGUUUUAUUAAUGUUUAAUAAAAAACCUUAAAAGUAUUUUUUAUUUAAUUUUAUAAAACUUAACUGGGGCGGUUGAGGAAGUAUCUACUCUUCUUUUUUUCUCUUCGUUUAUAAAACUUAUUCUCUUGAUCCUAGUAAAUAGAUGAAAGAAAAGCUACCUUGGGGGUAACAGACUAAUUUUUUUUGAGAGUUCGUAUUGACAAAAAAGUUUGGCACAUCGAUGUUGGCUUAGGG